rnacentral:lncRNA from 1 species
UAAAAUAUUCAUCCCAUCUCCUUCCACAGUUCCAUCCACAGAAUAGUCUGUCAUUUAGCUUCGUUAAUCCAUAUGAGUUUGUAAAUAAGUGUGUUUACUUAUGUGUUAGCAUAUAUUAGCACUUGUGGUUUAUAUUUAAGUUUGUUUAAGCUUGAUUAGUAUACAUAAAGCUUGUACGAUAUGUAUUUCAAUUUUAUCAGACUCUAUG